rnacentral:tRNA from 1 species
GGUGCUCUGGCACAUAAGGUAUAUGCGCCGGACUGAAAAUCCGGUUAACGCGGUUCGAGUCCGCGGGGUACCA